rnacentral:rRNA from 1 species
ACGCUCGACACCUACGGGAGGUAGCAGUGGGGAAUAUUGCACAAUGGGGGAAACCCUGAUGCAGCGACGCCGCGUGGAGGAAGAAGGUCUUCGGAUUGUAAACUCCUGUUGUUGGGGAAAAAGAGGAUGGUACCCAACAAGGAAGUGACGGCUAACUACGUGCCAGCAGCCGAGGUAAUCUGAGCGGGCUGGCAAGGC